rnacentral:rRNA from 1 species
GAUGAACGCUGGCGGCGUGCCUAAUACAUGCAAGUCGAGCGAACAGAUGAGGAGCUUGCUCCUCUGACGUUAGCGGCGGACGGGUGAGUAACACGUGGAUAACCUACCUAUAAGACUGGGAUAACUUCGGGAAACCGGAGCUAAUACCGGAUAAUAUAUUGAACCGCAUGGUUCAAUAGUGAAAGACGGUUUUGCUGUCGCUGAUAGAUGGAUCCGCGCCGCAUUAGCUAGUUGGUAGGGUAACGGCUUACCAAGGCAACGAUGCGUAGCCGACCUGAGAGGGUGAUCGGCCACACUGGAGCUGAGACGCGGUCCAGACUCCUACGGGAGGCAGCAGUAGGGAAUCUUCCGCAAUGGGCGAAAGCCUGACGGAGCAGCGCCGCGUGAGUGAUGAAGGUCUUCGGAUCGUAAAACUCUUUUAUUAGGGAAGAACAAAUGUGUAAGUAACUAUGCACGUCUUGACGGUACCUAAUCAGAAAGCCACGGCUAACUACGUG